rnacentral:rRNA from 1 species
CGAUGAAGAACGCAGCGAAAUGCGAUAAGUAAUGUGAAUUGCAGAAUUCAGUGAAUCAUCGAAUCUUUGAACGCACAUUGCGCCCCUUGGUAUUCCGAGGGGCAUGCCUGUUCGAGCGUCAUUUCAACCCUCAAGCUCUGCUUGGUAUUGGGCUCCGU